CGACGCUCCGUUCCCAGCUCUCUGCCUUCCUCUUGGCUUUUGGAGCCUGGGGGUAAGCGGAGGGGACACGAGUGGGUGAGCUGUCCCAGAUCCCCCCUUCUCCGGCACAUCCUAAGUCACACACCUUCUCACCUCCAUGCCUUUACUCACUCCGUUCCCUCCACCUGCCAUGCCCCUUUUCCUCUAAUGCAUUUGGCGAACUCCUACUCACCCUUCAAUACCCACCCAAGUGCUGGCUCCUCUGGGAAACCUUUCUCCACAGUUCAAGCUCAAGUGAGUGCUGUAUUUCCACGCCCCCAGGACCCUUUCACCCUUUACUGCCUUAUUACGUAUCCCCCCCAUCCAUCCAUGCUGUGGGUUCCUGUCCUGUUCACAACUGGGUCCACGGUGCCACACGUAAUUCUUGGCAGGAAGGUGCUCUAUCAAUGUGUUUGACGGAAAGAGGGGAAACGGAGGCACCCACUUUCGGGACUAGUUAGGGGAAGGCAGAAAGGGGCUCAGCCUCACAUCCAGCUCUUCAAUCGUACCGGGAGGAACCCCUUUUGUCAGUUAUGUUGAAACAGAGAAACGAAUCCCCUGUUUCAGGAGGUCCUGUCUGAGCCUGGCGCUGGAGCUGCCCUCGCGGGGCCCACCAUCUGAGGGAGGACGGAGGAGGGACAAGAGUAGGUCGGCAGGACAACACCCAUCUUGACAGAAGGACAGCAGCGUGGUGCGACAGUGGAGGGAGCGGCAGCCACUGCUGACAGGGCGGUGGGGACAGGUCUCCUCAGAGAGGGGACCCGGGCUGACGACAGAGCGAGGAGGAGGAGCUACAGGCAGAGAUGCGAAGGGGGCUUCGGGCAGCCCUGUCGCAACCUGCGUGCUGGCCGGGGCCCCAAGAGCGGCGACCAGGACAGACGCGGCCCAGCGGGGGACAGAGCAGCUUUGUGACCCGGCAUCACUGAACGGUCUCACGCGGCCCCCACAGCAGGCCGGCACCGGCGCUUGUGAGCACUCGUUCGAAACCCGUCCCUGCCAGCCACGCUCACUGCCCCUAAACUGAACCAAGAACACAGGGACGGACAGAUGAGCUUCCGUACGGGUCUCGGUGAAGGUUUGGGAAGUCUUGACGGAGGCAUAUUGUGCCAAACGCAAGUCGGUUGUCACACUAGGCGUGAACGAGACACCUGUGACGGGGCUGGGGGGGACGGGACAUCAAUGAAGCCUUCAAAGAUUAACGGAUGACAGGGCACGACCUCCAGAGCCAUUCUCUCUGCUGACAGUCAGGGGCAACUCAGCGGGAGCAUGGCUACCCCACGGAAAGACUACCUUUCCCAUCCUCCUUUGCAGCAGGAUGUGGUCAGGUGACUCGGCUCUGACCAAUGGGAUGUGAGCAGCAGGAUGUGCAGAACCCAGGGUGCAGCGGCCCUGAACGUCCCCCUCCCCUGCCCGCCCCUCUCCUCUCCUGCCAGGAUGUGAAGGUGGCAUUGAGGGCACCCCCCUCCCUCUCCCCCCACCGCCGACAGCAGAACCAGGAAGAAGGCAGGUGCCUGGGCCCCGUGCUGUGGGGCCACCUUCCCUGUCCGGAUGGCUGUGCACAACUGUCACUGGAGAGAAAAGUAACCCCUGUGCAGUUGAAACCCUUGUUACCUGGGGUCCUAUCCACUGGCGGGGCUUGCAAUCUAGUAACCCGGACCACGGAUAUGUUUAAAUUAAAAUAAACGAUUUCCCUCAUUAACCCCCUUCUUCAGUUAACAAACCAGAGUGGCCUAGGGGCGCCUGGGCGGCUCAGUCGGUUAAACGUCCGACUUUGGCUCAGGUCACGAUCUCACGGUUCGUGAGUUCGAGCCCCGCGUCGGGCUCUGUGCUGAAGGCUCAGAGCCUGGAGCCUGUUUCAGAUUCUGUGUCUCCCUCUCUCUCUGCCCCUCCCCUGCUCACGCUCUGUCUCUUGUCUCUCAAAAAUGAAUACACGUUAAAAAAAAAAAAAGAGUGGCCUUGACCUUGGCGGAUAAGACAGCUGUGGUGCAAAGAUCACCUGCCACACCCUUCUCUCCCCUCCUUUCCGCCAGCACAGGCCGCCUACAGGCCGCAGUUCCGUGAGGCCAGGAGAUUAGUCCAGCCAAUGAACUUCGAGGGGCUGACAGGCAAACAUCGGUGUUCUUAGGUCUCCACCUUUGAGGGUCUCGCUUGUUUCAGCGGCUGAAGCAGCGGCCGGUAAAGCAGAGCCCGUCUUGACCGUGAAGUUUUACCGGCACGUGACCACGGCCACUCAUUCCCGCAAGAUCCAGGGCUGUUUGGGGCUGCGACGGCGGACUUGAGCCCUUACGACCCACGCGGUCUGGCCUUUGGAGACCAGGGCCCUGUGGGACGGCACGUGUGCCUGGGAUGUCCCGCCGGGGCGCGCUGCCCCUCCUGACAUCGGUGAGUGCCGGAGGCGGGGUGGGGGCACACAAAUGCCUUAAAAACAACCUUCUCUGGGGGUGCCGCGUGGCUCAGUGUGUUGAGCAUCCGGCUCUUGUUCUCGGCUCAGGUCGUGACCUCGGUGAGAUCGAGCCCCGCGUCGGGCUCCGCGCUGAGUAUGGAGCCUGCUUGGGAUUCGCUCUCUCCCUCUCUCUGCCCCUCCCCUGCUUGUGCUCCCUCUUCCUCUCAAAAUAAAUACACGUUAAAAAAAAAAAUCUCUGUCCACUGAGGGCAGCGAGUGGUUAAGUGCUUGGCCGAGGGCACCAGCCACCUGAA